GACGAACGCUGGCGGCGUGCUUAACACAUGCAAGUCGAACGGAAAGACCCUGCUUUUGUGGGGUGCUCGAGUGGCGAACGGGUGAGUAACACGUGAGUAACCUGCCCUUGAAUUUGUGAUAAAUUCUGGAAACUGGGGCUAAUACCGGGUAGGAGCUCCUGCUGCAUGGUGGGGGUUGGUAAAUUUCGGCGGUUGGGGAUGGACUGGCGGCUUAUCGGCUUGUUUGUGGGGUAGUGGCUUACAAAGUGUUUGAAGGGUAGGCUGCCUUGGAGGGUGACCGGCCACCAUGGGACUGAGAUACGGCGCAGACUCCUACGGGAGGCAGAAGUGGGGAAUAUUGCAGAACGGGCGGAAGCCUGAUGCAGCAACGCCGCGUGCGGGAUGACGGCUUUCGGGUUGUAAACCGCUUUCGACUGUGACGAAGCGUGAUUGACGGUAAUGGGUAAAGAAGCACCGGCUAACUACGUG
rnacentral:rRNA from 1 species